GGGAGCUUCUGCGCAUGCCUGACUAGAAGAAAGUCGAGCUUUGGGGUCUCUCCCGGCUAGAUCAAAGAAAAACCCAGAUAAUUGGAGAAAAUACUGAUUAUUCACAGUGGAAUUUAUACAGUUUGAAGAAUAAACAGAUUCCGGACAGCUGUGAAGUUCAGAAAAGCUGGUUUUGGAUGAAAGCCCAGAACCGAGAUGAUAAGACGAGCCAAGAAUAUAUAACAUUAUGUGAAUGUUAAAAGAAAUAUGGUGAAAUGAAGUUAUUGUAACUUGACUUUAAAGGAAAAAAAUAUAUAUCUGGGUAUAAUAUAGCAUACUUAUUAAAAUUAAAAGCCGGGGAGAAGGACAAGCGGCCGCAGAAGACACAAAACCUCCAACAUGGGAAGGGAAGAGAUUCCCUUAUUUACCGGAUGGAGAAGUGGGGAAGGGAGGGGGAAAAAGGGAAAUGGGAAGGGGAAUGAUUUGAAAAAUAAAAUAAAGAUGCAAGCAGGGGAACAGGGAUUACAUGGGAAAAAAUAUGGUGGGAAAUAAAAUGAAAAUAAUUUCAAUGAAUGUUAAUGGGUUAAAUUCAGGCUUUAAGAGAUAUAAAGUAGCUAGAUUUAUAAAGAAUGAACAACCAGACUUGAUCUGUCUUCAAGAAACACACAAAAAAAGGGCAGAUAGAAAUGUUUUGAUAAACAUUCCAGGCUGGAAAGUUGUUGGGGAAGCACGAGCCACAGUGAAAAAGAAUGGGUUAGCUAUUUUAGUAAAAGAAUCUUUUGACUUUAAGUUACAAGAAAUGACCACUGACACAGAUGGGAGAAUGAUGAUAAUAAAAGCGAAGAUUCAAGGUAAUCAAGUAACAUUGUUGAAUGUAUAUGCACCUAAUAGGAAACAGAAAAAAUAUUUAGAAAAACAAUUUAAAAAACUUCAGAGGAUUUUUUGGGGAGACACAUUGAUAAUGGGAGAUUGUAACAUGGACCUUAGAGACCAUCUGAUGCUGAAAAAAUGGAACAUAGUAGAUAGCUAUAAGGAAUUGAAUAAAUCAUCCCAGCCGACUUAUUUCUCUAACAGACAUAAAAAAUACACAUAUAUAGAUUAUGUAAUGUUAAAGAACAUAAACAACCUACAUCUUAUAGACAUAGAAACACAUAAAGAAUGGAUUUCAGAUCACGCGCCGCUGGUGGCUAGAUUCAGAGUGGAAGGUGAAGGAAAACAAUAUAAAUGGAGAUAUAACAAUAUGAUUUGGAAGGGGGAGAAAUAAAAAAAGAGUUAUUAGAUAAGAUAAAACUCUAUUUCCUAGAAAAUAAACAGUAACAGAAAAUAUUCUCUGGGAUGCCUCGAAGGCUGUAGUGAGAGGUUAUUGCCUGGCUAGAGAGGCUAGAUGGAAAAAGGAAAUAAACAAAGAAAGAACAAAAAUAGUAGAAGAGUUAAAACAAAAUAGAUUUAAGCUCCAUGCUAAAUAUGAUGUAAGAAUAAAGAAUGAAAUAAGACAAUUACAAAAUAAGCUAGAUGAAAUAGAGAAGAUGGAACUAUGGAAAAAAGAGAUAUGGGUUAAAAACCAGUUUCAAAGGAAUAAUAUACACUCAGUUAGAAGGUUAGCAAAUUAUUUGAAGAAAAGAAAGGAGAAACAAAGGGUUAGAAAGUUAAAAGAUGAUA